rnacentral:rRNA from 1 species
GACGAACGCUGGCGGCGUGCUUAACACAUGCAAGUCGAACGGAAAGGCCCUGCUUUUGUGGGGUGCUCGAGUGGCGAACGGGUGAGUAACACGUGAGUAACCUGCCCUUGACUUUGGGAUAACUUCAGGAAACUGGGGCUAAUACCGGAUAGGAGCUCCUGCUGCAUGGUGGGGGUUGGAAAGUUUCGGCGGUUGGGGAUGGACUCGCGGCUUAUCAGCUUGUUGGUGGGGUAGUGGCUUACCAAGGCUUUGACGGGUAGCCGGCCUGAGAGGGUGACCGGCCACAUUGGGACUGAGAUACGGCCCAGACUCCUACGGGAGGCAGCAGUGGGGAAUAUUGCACAAUGGGCGGAAGCCUGAUGCAGCAACGCCGCGUGCGGGAUGACGGCCUUCGGGCUGUAAACCGCUUUCGCCUGUGACGAAGCGUGAGUGACGGUAAUGGGUAAAGAAGCACCGGCUAACUACGUGCCAGCAGCCGCGGUGAUACGUAGGGUGCGAGCGUUGUCCGGAUUUAUUGGGCGUAAAGGGCUCGUAGGUGGUUGAUCGCGUCGGAAGUGUAAUCUUGGGGCUUAACCCUGAGCGUGCUUUCGAUACGGGUUGACUUGAGGAAGGUAGGGGAGAAUGGAAUUCCUGGUGGAGCGGUGGAAUGCGCAGAUAUCAGGAGGAACACCAGUGGCGAAGGCGGUUCUCUGGGCCUUUCCUGACGCUGAGGAGCGAAAGCGUGGGGAGCGAACAGGCUUAGAUACCCUGGUAGUCCACGCUGUAAACGGUGGGUACUAGGUGUGGGGUCCAUUCCACGGGUUCCGUGCCGUAGCUAACGCUUUAAGUACCCCGCCUGGGGAGUACGGCCGCAAGGCUAAAACUCAAAGGAAUUGACGGGGCCCCGCACAAGCGGCGGAGCAUGCGGAUUAAUUCGAUGCAACGCGUAGAACCUUACCUGGGUUUGACAUGGAUCGGGAGCGCUCAGAGAUGGGUGUGCCUCUUUUGGGGUCGGUUCACAGGUGGUGCAUGGCUGCCGUCAGCUCGUGUCGUGAGAUGUUGGGUUAAGUCCCGCAACGAGCGCAACCCUUGUUCACUGUUGCCAGCACGUUAUGGUGGGGACUCAGUGGAGACCGCCGGGGUCAACUCGGAGGAAGGUGGGGAUGACGUCAAGUCAUCAUGCCCCUUAUGUCCAGGGCUUCACGCAUGCUACAAUGGCUGGUACAGAGAGUGGCGAGCCUGUGAGGGUGAGCGAAUCUCGGAAAGCCGGUCUCAGUUCGGAUUGGGGUCUGCAACUCGACCUCAUGAAGUCGGAGUCGCUAGUAAUCGCAGAUCAGCAACGCUGCGGUGAAUACGUUCCCGGG